AGCAAUGUCGGGACUUGGAUGAAGAUGAUGAGAAUGAGGAUGAUGAAGAUGAAAAGUAUAAAGACAUGGAACUGUUGCACUUUGACUUUUGACGGUCAAAAAAGCCUCAGAUUUGCAAUAUCCAUAAUGAUGACCAAUGAACAUGAGGAUUACAAAUGCAGUAGCACACAUGUUUGACUA